AUGGGGGAAAAGUACAUCUAAUGUAAUGGGGGGUUUCAGUUAAACAGAUGCUCAGCAGAGGAAAAAUAAACAGGCCGAUAAUUUGGGGUUUGCUCUCUCGUCGUUUUUUGUACUGUUUUCUUUUUGUUUUUUGGCUUGAAGGUAAAGAUACUAGAAAUGGAAUUGCUAUUGUCAAAUCAUGCACCACCUUAAGGAAGUCUUGACCAAAAGCCAAAUUGAAGCCGUGGAUCCAAGCUGCCCAGUAAACAGCUAAAGAAUCUGCAUUAAAAAGACCACGAGGGAUAACAAAUCUAUGGCCAUCCAAACUUACAUGUGUCAGAAUGUCCCAUGCCACAGAAGGAACCACACAUACAUGCAAAUGCAUCUAAUUCAUAUACGUCCCUUGUGAUCAUGACUUGGGAAGGUGUUUGAGCACAAAGGAAGCAGAAGGCUAACAGACAGUGGGAUUCUGGUACAACUUACCAGAAGUCAUCACCCAUGAUGGUGUGGGAUUUUGAGGUGAUGAAGUUGUCUCA